rnacentral:rRNA from 1 species
CCUACGGGAGGCAGCAGUGAGGAAUUUUCCGCAAUGGGCGGAAGCCUGACGGAGCAAUACCGCGUGAGGGAUGAAGGAUUUUGGUCUGUAAACCUCUUUUCUCAAGAAAGAAGUUCUGACGGUACUUGAGGAAUAAGCAUCGGCUAACUCCGUGCCAGCAGCCGCGGUAAUACGGGGGAUGCAAGCGUUAUCCGGAAUGAUUGGGCGUAAAGCGCCUGUAGGUUGUUUAUUAAGUCCGUUGUUAAAGCCUAGGGCUCAACCCUAGAAAAGCAAUGGAAACUAGUAGACUAGAGUAUGGCAGGGGUAGAGGGAAUUUCUAGUGUAGCGGUGAAAUGCGUAGAUAUUAGAAAGAACACCGGUGGCGAAAGCGCUCUACUGGACCAUUACUGACACUCAGAGGCGAAAGCUAGGGUAGCAAAAGGGAUUAGAUACCCCUGUAGUCCUAGCCGUAAACGAUGGAUACUAGAUGUUGUGCAUUAUGUACAGUAUCGUAGCUAACGCGUUAAGUAUCCGCCUGGGGAGUACGCUCGCAAGGUGAACUUAAAUGAAUUGAGNGNGAGAAGUGCGAGAGACACGAGGAGAG